rnacentral:rRNA from 1 species
CCUACGGGAGGCAGCAGUGGGGAAUAUUGCACAAUGGGGGAAACCCUGAUGCAGCGACGCCGCGUGAGUGAAGAAGUAUUUCGGUACGUAAAGCUCUAUCAGCAGGGAAGAAAAUGACGGUACCUGACUAAGAAGCCCCGGCUAACUACGUGCCAGCCGCCGCGGUAAUACGUAGGGGGCAAGCGUUAUCCGGAUUUACUGGGUGUAAAGGGAGCGUAGACGGCAGCGCAAGUCUGGAGUGAAAUCCCAUGGCUUAACCAUGGAACUGCUUUGGAAACUGUGCAGCUAGAGUGCAGGAGAGGUAAGCGGAAUUCCUAGUGUAGCGGUGAAAUGCGUAGAUAUUAGGAGGAACACCAGUGGCGAAGGCGGCUUACUGGACUGUAACUGACGUUGAGGCUCGAAAGCGUGGGGAGCAAACAGGAUUAGAUACCCGAGUAGUC